UACGAAGGGGGCUAGCGUUGUUCGGAAUUACUGGGCGUAAAGAGCUCGUAGGCGGUGUGUCACGUCGGCCGUGAAAAACCUGCAGCUUAACUGUGGGCGUGCGGUCGAUACGGGCAUCACUGGAGUUCGGCAGGGGAGACUGGAAUUCCUGGUGUAGCGGUGAAAUGCGCAGAUAUCAGGAGGAACACCGGUGGCGAAGGCGGGUCUCUGGGCCGGAUACUGACGCUG
rnacentral:rRNA from 1 species